UCCAAUUUUUGGAGAUGGCCCUGGGCACACUUUCACCAUUGUAGGCUCAUGCGGUGGUAGUUUGAUCGGGUAUGUGGCCAAGCCAUGGUCGUAUUUCUCCCCUGCUCGAUUCUAUGGCUGUUGUUUCACCUGCUAAAUUUAUUUCUGAAACUUUACAUGCCAAGUUCUAUUUCUUGCUUCGGUUAUCGUUUUCAGAUGUUGUAAUGUGCUCUUCAGAUGUGCUAACUUUAAUUGAUCUUAUGUUGGGCUUGAUUUGUAUUCUAGGAUGAUAAGGCACUUUUGGGUUGGAUUGGAGUACCAGAGCCUGCACAUGAUUGGCAUGUUGCUUUUGUACUGGAAUAACCACUUACAUUUCGAGUUUAUCAUCAACACAGCUAUUGAGGAUGUUAUUGGAUUCAAGCACGCACUGGGCGUUCGCACUUAUAAAUUCAGAUUUUGCAUAGGCAUAGAGCAUGCAGAGAGGCGUUCAGCCAUGGUCGUUCUCCGCCUACCAACUCCCCAGACCGCGUCCUGAUCCUGGAGGCUAAUCUACAUCACCUGCAACGGUAAGGCCUGCAACCAUAUACUAACUAUGCAAAUUCUCUUGAAAGAGUAUGUAAGGGCACAAACUUUUUGUCCAGAAGAAUGUAAAGCUUAGUGUUCAGAUUAUUGGUAUCCUGCAGUUUAUUUUGAGUUACCUCUUUCAUGCCAGCAGAGAAGAUUUGUUUUGUUUCCUGAAUUUUGUCAGGGCUGUUUUAUUUGAUAAGUUGAGAAGAGUCGUGUA